AGAAAUUCCAGAGAUUUCUCCAGAUCGUGUCCAAGACGGAGUUCAAGAAAUCGUUGACAUCCGACCAAAUAAACGCCGAACUCAGCAAAGCUGUGGUGGCGACUGUCGAUGGCUUUGAGAAGUCCUUAGAGAAAGCCAAGGCUUUGAAUAGACCGACCAUUCACCACGACCUAGAAAUCUUCACACAAAUCUUCAAAUUCUUAUUAGAUGAGGAAGACGACAACGAGUAGCUGUGCGGCGUCGAAACUCGUAUGUGAAGAUAUU
rnacentral:ribozyme from 1 species